UUGGAACGUGAGGUCUGGUAUGAGGCUUUUUUUUAAGACUCAACUAGGCUUUGAUCAGCCGUGUGGCAGAAAAGAGAGACGUCUGGAACCUGAUCAGACCACACACACUGUUCUGAUGAGGAAUUACUGACAGCAUACCACACUCGCCCACAUCACACUGACUCAUCACGAUCAGAAGGUCUGAUCUGAUCUGCUCUGAUUUGUGUGCAGCAGCUUCACACUCGGCUGAAACACAAGGCUGGAGUCUGGCGCCUGGAGGGAAAACCGGAAGUGCUCACUCAAACACUGCGGUUUGUGCCUCCUGCGCGGUUCUGCAAUACAAAACACGACUCUGGAGGACGCAGAGCAAGCAAAUAAUUACCCAAAUACACGUGUAAUCAUUUACUAAACCAUAACAUUUAAAAAUUAUGCAGACGUGUGCAUUGUGAAUCUUCCUAACCGGCCAUGUCGCCUGG